UGGGGAAUAUUGCGCAAUGGGGGAAACCCUGACGCAGCGACGCCGUGUGAGGGAAGAAGGCUUUCGGGUCGUAAACCUCUGUCGGGAGGGAAGAACCUUCCAGGCCUGAAUAAGUCCUGGAACUGACGGUACCUCCAAAGGAAGCACCGGCUAACUCCGUGCCAGCAGCCGCGGUAAUACGGAGGGUGCAAGCGUUAAUCGGAAUCACUGGGCGUAAAGCGCGCGUAGGCGGUCGUUUAAGUCGGACGUGAAAGCCCUCGGCUCAACCGGGGAACUGCGUUCGAAACGGGGAGACUUGAGUCCUGGAGAGGGUGGCGGAAUUCCGGGUGUAGGAGUGAAAUCCGUAGAUAUCCGGAGGAACACCGGUGGCGAAGGCGGCCACCUGGACAGGUACUGACGCUGAGGCGCGAAAGCGUGGGGAGCAAACA
rnacentral:rRNA from 1 species